rnacentral:rRNA from 1 species
GACGAACGCAGGCGGCGUGCUUAACACAUGCAAGUCGAACGAGAGGCGAACGGGUGAGUAAUACGUGGGUACCCUGCCCUCUUUUUGGGAUAAGCCUUUGUAACGGGGUCUAAUACCGGAUCAAGGGGGAUGGGCUCGCGGCCUAUCAGCUUGUUGGUGGGGUGAUGGCCUACCAAGGCGGUGACGGGUAGCCGGCCUGAGAGGGUGACCGGCUACAUCGGGGCUGAGAGACGGCCCAGACUCCUACGUGGGGGAGCACUGGGGAUUAGUAUAAAAUGGGGGAAGUCUUGAUGCAGCUACGGAGCGUGGGAGACGGGGGCUUCGGUGUGGUAAACCUUCUGGGCAGGCGAACGGGUAGGUGGAGAAGAAGCCCCGGCUAACUACGUGCCAGCAGCCGCGGUAAUUC